AGAACGAACGCUGGCGGCACGCCUAACACAUGCAAGUCGAACGAGACCUUCGGGUCUAGUGGCGCACGGGUGCGUAACGCGUGGGAAUCUGCCCUUGGGUUCGGAAUAACAGCGAGAAAUUGCUGCUAAUACCGGAUGAUGACGUAAGUCCAAAGAUUUAUCGCCCAAGGAUGAGCCCGCGUAGGAUUAGCUUGUUGGUGAGGUAAGAGCUCACCAAGGCGACGAUCCUUAGCUGGUCUGAGAGGAUGAUCAGCCACACUGGGACUGGGACACGGCCCAGACUCCUACGGGAGGCAGCAGUGGGGAAUAUGGACAAUGGGCGAAAGCCUGAUCCAGCAAUGCCGCGUGAGUGAUGAAGGCCUUAGGGUUGUAAAGCUCUUUUACCCGGGAUGAUAAUGACAGUACGGAGAAUAAGCUACCGGCUAACUCCGUGCCAGCAGCCGCGGU
rnacentral:rRNA from 1 species